GAAGGUGAGGAGAAAUGCUCUCAGUGAAGGUGAGGAGAAAUGCUCUCAGUGGAAGGUGAGGAGAAAUGCUCUCAGUGGAAGGUGAGGAGAAAUGCUCUCAGUGGAAGGUGAGGAGAAAUGCUCUCAGUGAAGGUGAGGAGAAAUGCUCUCAGUGGAAGGUGAGGAGAAAUGCUCUCAGUGGAAGGUAAGGAGAAAUGCUCUCAGUGAAGGUGAGGAGAAAUGCUCUCAGUGGAAGGUGAGGAGAAAUGCUCUCAGUGAAGGUGAGGAGAAAUGCUCUCAGUGAAGGUGAGGAGAAAUGCUCUCAGUGGAAGGUGAGGAGAAAUGCUCUCAGUGGAAGGUGAGGAGAAAUGCUCUCAGUGAAGGUGAGGAGAAAUGCUCUCAGUGGAAGGUGAGGAGAAAUGCUCUCAGUGAAGGUGAGGAGAAAUGCUCUCAGUGGAAGGUGAGGAGAAAUGCUCUCAGUGAAGGUGAGGAGAAAUGCUCUCAGUGAAGGUGAGGAGAAAUGCUCUCAGUGAAGGUGAGGAGAAAUGCUCUCAGUGAAGGUGAGGAGAAAUGCUCUCAGUGGAAGGUGAGGAGAAAUGCUCUCAGUGGAAGGUGAGGAGAAAUGCUCUCAGUGAAGGUGAGGAGAAAUGCUCUCAGUGGAAGGUGAGGAGAAAUGCUCUCAGUGAAGGUGAGGAGAAAUGCUAUCAGUGAAGGUGAGGAGAAAUGCUCUCAGUGAAGGUGAGGAGAAAUGCUCUCAGUGAAGGUGAGGAGAAAUGCUCUCAGUGAAGGUGAGGAGAAAUGCUCUCAGUGGAAGGUGAGGAGAAAUGCUCUCAGUGGAAGGUGAGGAGAAAUGCUCUCAGUGGAAGGUGAGGAGAAAUGCUCUCAGUGGAAGGUGAGGAGAAAUGCUCUCAGUGAAGGUGAGGAGAAAUGCUCUCAGUGAAGGUGAGGAGAAAUGCUCUCAGUGAAGGUGAGGAGAAAUGCUCUCAGUGAAGGUGAGGAGAAAUGCUCUCAGUGGAAGGUGAGGAGAAAUGCUCUCAGUGGAAGGUGAGGAGAAAUGCUCUCAGUGAAGGUGAGGAGAAAUGCUCUCAGUGGAAGGUGAGGAGAAAUGCUCUCAGUGAAGGUGAGGAGAAAUGCUCUCAGUGGAAGGUGAGGAGAAAUGCUCUCAGUGGAAGGUGAGGAGAAAUGCUCUCAGUGGAAGGUGAGGAGAAAUGCUCUCAGUGAAGGUGAGGAGAAAUGCUCUCAGUGAAGGUGAGGAGAAAUGCUCUCAGUGGAAGGUGAGGAGAAAUGCUCUCAGUGAAGGUAAGGAGAAAUGCUCUCAGUGGAAGGUGAGGAGAAAUGCUCUCAGUGGAAGGUGAGGAGAAAUGCUCUCAGUGGAAGGUAAGGAGAAAUGCUCUCAGUGGAAGGUGAGGAGAAAUGCUCUCAGUGGAAGGUGAGGAGAAAUGCUCUCAGUGGAAGGUGAGGAGAAAUGCUCUCAGUGAAGGUGAGGAGAAAUGCUCUCAGUGGAAGGUGAGGAGAAAUGCUCUCAGUGGAAGGUGAGGAGAAAUGCUCUCAGUGGAAGGUGAGGAGAAAUGCUCUCAGUGAAGGUGAGGAGAAAUGCUCUCAGUGAAGGUGAGGAGAAAUGCUCUCAGUGAAGGUGAGGAGAAAUGCUAUCAGUGAAGGUAAGGAGAAAUGCUCUCAGUGAAGGUGAGGAGAAAUGCUUAUCAGUGGAAGGUGAGGAGAAAUGCUCUCAGUGAAGGUGAGGAGAAAUGCUCUCAGUGAAGGUGAGGAGAAAUGCUAUCAGUGGAAGGUGAGGAGAAAUGCUCUCAGUGGAAGGUGAGGAGAAAUGCUCUCAGUGGAAGGUGAGGAGAAAUGUUCUCAG